rnacentral:rRNA from 1 species
UAUCCUACGGGGGGCAGCAGUGGGGAAUAUUGCACAAUGGGGGAAACCCUGAUGCAGCGACGCCGCGUGGGCGAGGAAGUACCUCGGUAUGUAAAGCCCUAUCAGCAGGGAAGAAACAGGACAGUACCUGACUAAGAAGCCCCGGCUAACUACGUGCCAGCAGCCGCGGUAAUACGUAGGGGGCAAGCGUUAUCCGGAAUUACUGGGUGUAAAGGGAGCGUAGACGGUUAAGUAAGUCUGGAGUGAAAGGCCGGGGCCCAACCCCGGGACUGCUCUGGAAACUAUUGAACUUGAGUGCAGGAGAG